rnacentral:rRNA from 1 species
UACGUAGGGGGCGAGCGUUGUCCGGAGUACUGGGCGUAAAGCGCACGCAGGCGGUCUGCUAAGUUUGGAGUGACAGUUGGUGGCUUAACUGCCAAAGUGCUUCGAAAACUGACAGACUUGAGGGCUUCAGAGGGACACGGAAUUCCGGGUGUAGCGGUGGAAUGCGUAGAGAUCCGGAAGAACACCGGUGGCGAAGGCGGUGAGCUGGGCAGUAGCUGACACUGAGGCGCGACAGCGUGGGGAGCAAACAGG